GACGAACGCUGGCGGCGUGCCUAAUACAUGCAAGUUGAGCGCUGAAGGUUGGUACUUGUACCAACUGGAUGAGCAGCGAACGGGUGAGUAACGCGUGGGGAAUCUGCCUUUGAGCGGGGGACAACAUUUGGAAACGAAUGCUAAUACCGCAUAAAAACUUUAAACACAAGUUUUAAGUUUGAAAGAUGCAAUUGCAUCACUCAAAGAUGAUCCCGCGUUGUAUUAGCUAGUUGGUGAGGUAAAGGCUCACCAAGGCGAUGAUACAUAGCCGACCUGAGAGGGUGAUCGGCCACAUUGGGACUGAGACACGGCCCAAACUCCUACGGGAGGCAGCAGUAGGGAAUCUUCGGCAAUGGACGAAAGUCAGACCGAGCAACGCCGCGUGAGUGAAGAAGGUUUUCGGAUCGUAAAACUCUGUUGGUAGAGAAGAACGUUGGUGAGAGUGGAAAGCUCAUCAAGUGACGGUAACUACCCAGAAAGGGACGGCUAACUACGUG
rnacentral:rRNA from 1 species